UAUCUACCCUUUGGCCUGGAAUAACACGAGGAAACUUGUGCUAAUACCGGAUAAGUCUUUACGGAGAAAGCUUUAUGCACCAUUGGAUGAGCCUGCACUUGAUUAGUUUGUUGGUGGGGUAAUGGCCUACCAAGACUGUGAUCAAUAGCUGAUUUGAGAGGAUGAUCAGCCACAUUGGGACUGAGACACGGCCCAAACUCCUACGGGAGGCAGCAGUGGGGAAUCUUGCACAAUGGAGGAAACUCUGAUGCAGCGAUGCCGCGUGAGUGAAGAAGGCCUUUGGGUUGUAAAGCUCUUUCGUCGGGGAAGAAAAUGACUGUACCCGAAUAAGAAGGUCCGGCUAACUUCGUGCCAGCAGCCGCGGUAAUACGAAGGGACCUAGCGU
rnacentral:rRNA from 1 species